rnacentral:lncRNA from 1 species
AUUUCAUGAGACAAUUCUUAAAGCACCAAUAAUGCCAGAGAAGGAUGUGGAAACAAAUGAUGGGUGUAAUUGGUUGGCUGCUCAAAACUUCAAACAUCACUGGAAAAAAAAGUACUAAUGCAGGAGCUUACAUAGACAUUUCAUGAACUAUGGACUCAACAUGACAUUUUCCUAUGUGAAUCCUUCUCUCUCCUUAUCAAUAGUUAAUUAGUUGAAACACCAAAAAGAUCUCACAAAAUAACUCCUUCUAUCCCAUACUUAUGACACUAUUUGAUCGGUACAGAGUUUUUUAGAUAUUAGUUUAACUUUGUAUUAUAGUAGGUUUGGAAGUAAGUAUUAAGAAGUUGUUAAGAGUUAGUUUGUUCAAGAAAAUAUCACAUUAAGGUUAAAUGUGAAGAUACAUAAACUUUGUGAAAGUUGUAACUUAUCAACAAAAAAAAUUGUGAAUUUGUAUUGGAUUACUAUAAUAUUAAAAUUUUGUCAAACAUUCUAGUAUGUCCUUAAAAUGGAAAGAUUAUUUGGAGAGAUAAAUGAGACAUCAAUACACAAGUCACUAUAACAUAAAAUAUAAAUAAUAUAAGUUAUAUAUAUUGACAAUGUAAUGAUUUUCUUACAUCAUCAUUGUAAUUUAACUUGAUAUAGCUGGUUACUUACCAUUUAUUUUAGGUAAUCAAUUAAUGUUUAUUAAAUAGAGCUACCUGCAAUUAUCUUUUAAAUGACCUCAUUUUGUAAAUAUUUUUUACACCCUUAGCGGAUAGAACUUAAAACUCAAAGAUAAAUAGCUAUGAUAAACUAAGUAUACUAAAAAAUGCUGAUUUUGAAAACACUAAAAAUAAAAACAGUAUAAAUUCAGACUAAAACCAUUCACAAGAAAUGAAGGAUGAACAUACAGUACAACACUUUAAAACAAGGAUUCGGGCGAGAAACCUACAGUAAACCCACGUUAAAUAUACAUCAGUUGAAUGGUAGCCUGAACGACAAAAAUCAAGAUAGACAAGAAAAUUCAGAAUUUAGAAAGUCUACACAGAAUGCAAAGAAGACAAAUUAAAGCAAAGUAAAAUUGAAGCAAAGAAUGUAAGAGUAGUGAAGAAAAGAAUAACCUUUGAAUUCCGAUAAAUGUUGAAGAACAAAUGGUAAAUUGUUCCCGAGCUACCAGUUUAAGCAACUCUUUUAGGUGCGUCAGAAGCUUCUAGCUUUGUCCGGAAGAACCCAAAGGGGAACUCAAAGGGUAAAAAUUAGAAAUAGUCUAAUUACAAUUAGUAAUUUCAAAGAUAAUAAAAAAU